rnacentral:rRNA from 1 species
GUGGGAAGGCCCAGACAGCCAGGAUGUUGGCUUAGAAGCAGCCAUCAUUUAAAGAAAGCGUAAUAGCUCACUGGUCGAGUCGGCCUGCGCGGAAGAUGUAACGGGGCUAAACCAUGCACCGAAGCUGCGGCAGCGACGCUGAUGCGUUGUUGGGUAGGGGAGCGUUCUGUAAGCCUGCGAAGGUGGCCUGUGAGGGUUGCUGGAGGUAUCAGAAGUGCGAAUGCUGACAUAAGUAACGAUAAAGCGGGUGAAAAGCCCGCUCGCCGGAAGACCAAGGGUUCCUGUCCAACGUUAAUCGGGGCAGGGUGAGUCGACCCCUAAGGCGAGGCCGAAAGGCGUAGUCGAUGGGAAACGGGUUAAUAUUCCCGUACUUGGUGUUACUGCGAAGGGGGGACGGAGAAGGCUAUGUUGGCCGGGCGACGGUUGUCCCGGUUUAAGCGUGUAGGUGUGUGUUCCAGGUAAAUCCGGUUCACUUUAACACUGAGGCGUGAUGACGAGGCGCUACGGUGCUGAAGCAACAAAUGCCCUGCUUCCAGGAAAAGCCUCUAAGCAUCAGGUAACAUCAAAUCGUACCCCAAACCGACACAGGUGGUCAGGUAGAGAAUACCAAGGCGCUUGAGAGAACUCGGGUGAAGGAACUAGGCAAAAUGGUGCCGUAACUUCGGGAGAAGGCACGCUGACACGUAGGUGAAGUGAUUUACUCAUGGAGCUGAAGUCAGUCGAAGAUACCAGCUGGCUGCAACUGUUUAUUAAAAACACAGCACUGUGCAAACACGAAAGUGGACGUAUACGGUGUGACGCCUGCCCGGUGCCGGAAGGUUAAUUGAUGGGGUCAGCGCAAGCGAAGCUCCUGAUCGAAGCCCCGGUAAACGGCGGCCGUAACUAUAACGGUCCUAAGGUAGCGAAAUUCCUUGUCGGGUAAGUUCCGACCUGCACGAAUGGCGUAAUGAUGGCCAGGCUGUCUCCACCCGAGACUCAGUGAAAUUGAACUCGCUGUGAAGAUGCAGUGUACCCGCGGCAAGACGGAAAGACCCCGUGAACCUUUACUAUAGCUUGACACUGAACAUUGAGCCUUGAUGUGUAGGAUAGGUGGGAGGCUUUGAAGUGUGG